rnacentral:rRNA from 1 species
GACAGAGUUUGAUCCUGGCUCAGGACGAACGCUGGCGGCGUGCUUAACACAUGCAAGUCGAGCGGAAAGGCCCUUCGGGGUACUCGAGCGGCGAACGGGUGAGUAACACGUGAGCAACCUGCCCUUAGCUCUGGGAUAGCUCCGGGAAACCGGAAUUAAUACCGGAUAUGACCUAGGCCGACAUCGGCCGUGGUGGAAAGUUUUUCGGCUAGGGAUGGACUCGCGGCCUAUCAGCUAGUUGGUGGGGUAAUGGCCUACCAAGGCGACGACGGGUAGCCGGCCUGAGAGGGCGACCGGCCACACUGGGACUGAGACACGGCCCAGACUCCUACGGGAGGCAGCAGUGGGGAAUCUUGCGCAAUGGGCGAAAGCCUGACGCAGCGACGCCGCGUGGGGGAUGAAGGCCUUCGGGUUGUAAACCCCUUUCAGCAGGGACGAAGCGAAAGUGACGGUACCUGGAGAAGAAGCACCGGCCAACUACGUGCCAGCAGCCGCGGUAAUAACCUAAAUAGCUA